rnacentral:rRNA from 1 species
GACGAACGCUGGCGGCGUGCUUAACACAUGCAAGUCGAACGAUGAAGCCGGAGCUUGCUCUGGUGAAUUAGUGGCGAACGGGUGAGUAACACGUGAGUAACCUGCCCUUGACUCUGGGAUAACUGCUAGAAAUGGUAGCUAAUACCGGAUACGACCCUCGGAGGCAUCUCCAGGGGGUGGAAAGAAUUUCGGUCAAGGAUGGACUCGCGGCCUAUCAGCUAGUUGGUGAGGUAACGGCUCACCAAGGCGACGACGGGUAGCCGGCCUGAGAGGGUGACCGGCCACACGGGGACUGAGACACGGCCCAGACUCCUACGGGAGGAAGCAGUGGGGAAUAUUGCACAAUGGGCGCAAGCCUGAUGCAGCAACGCCGCGUGAGGGAUGACGGCCUUCGGGUUGUAAACCUCUUUUAGUAGGGAAGAAGCGAAAGUGACGGUACCUGCAGAAAAAGCACCGGCUAACUACGUGCCAGCAGCCGCGGUAA